CCUACGGGAGGCUGCAGUGGGGAAUAUUGGGCAAUGGGCGCAAGCCUGACCCAGCGACGCCGCGUGAGGGAAGAAGGUCUUCUGGUUGUAAACCUCUUUCAGCAGGGAAGCCAAAAGGACGGUACGUGCAGAAGAAGCCAGUACCAACGGCAUUCCACCAGACUGGGUCAGUGGUAGGUGGCAAGCGAUAACCGGGAUUGCGGGGUGUAAAGGGUUUGGAGGGGGGUUUGUCAGUUAGAUGGCAAAAUUACGGGCCUAACCCACAGCCUGCGGUUGAAACUAAAGACCUGGAGUGAGUGAGAGGUAAACGGAAUGCCUGGUGUAGCGGUGAAAUGCGUAGAUAUCGCGAGGAACACCAGUGGCGAAGGCGGUUUACUGGAACACAACUGACGCUGAGACACGAAAGCGUGGGGAGCAAACAGGAUUAGAUACCCCUGUAGAC
rnacentral:rRNA from 1 species